rnacentral:rRNA from 1 species
UACGUAGGGUGCAAGCGUUGUCCGGAAUUAUUGGGCGUAAAGAGCGUGUAGGCGGCCCGAUUAGUCCGCUGUGAAAGUCCAGGGCUCAACCCUGGAAUGCCGGUGGAUACUGUCGGGCUAGAGUCCGGAAGGGGCGAGUGGAAUUCCUGGUGUAGCGGUGGAAUGCGCAGAUAUCAGGAGGAACACCGAUAGCGAAGGCAGCUCGCUGGGACGGUACUGACGCUAAGGCGCGAAAGCGUGGGGAGCGAACAGG